ACAGGGAUUGCCUCAGUAACGGCGAGUGAAGCGGCAACAGCUCAAAUUUGAAAUCUGGCUCUCGGGCCCGAGUUGUAAUUUGUAGAGGAUGCUUUUGGUGAGGUGCCUUCCGAGUUCCCUGGAACGGGACGCCAUAGAGGGUGAGAGCCCCGUCUGGUUGGACACCGAUCCUCUGUAAAGCUCCUUCGACGAGUCGAGUAGUUUGGGAAUGCUGCUCUAAAUGGGAGGUAUAUGUCUUCUAAAGCUAAAUACCGGCCAGAGACCGAUAGCGCACAAGUAGAGUGAUCGAAAGAUGAAAAGAACUUUGAAAAGAGAGUUAAAAAGUACGUGAAAUUGUUGAAAGGGAAGCGCUUGUGACCAGACUUGGGCUUGGUUGAUCAUCCGGGGUUCUCCCCGGUGCACUCUUCCGGCUCAGGCCAGCAUCAGUUCGCCCUGGGGGAAAAAGGCUUCGGGAAUGUGGCUCUCUCCGGGGAGUGUUA
rnacentral:misc_RNA from 1 species